rnacentral:pre_miRNA from 1 species
UGGUUGGAUCGAUCUGCAAACAUGAUAUGUAAUCGUUUUUGCGACCGAAUCCAGGCCACG